UACAGAGGGGGCAAGCGUUGUUCGGAAUUACUGGGCGUAAAGGGCGCGUAGGCGGCCUUCUAAGUCGAACGUGAAAUCCCCGGGCUCAACCUGGGAACUGCAUCCGAUACUGGAUGGCUUGAAUUCGGGAGAGGGAUGCAGAAUUCCAGGUGUAGCGGUGAAAUGCGUAGAUAUCUGGAGGAACACCGGUGGCGAAAGCGCUCUGCUAGGCCGCAACUGACACUCAUGGACGAAAGCUAGGGGAGCGAACAGG
rnacentral:rRNA from 1 species